rnacentral:rRNA from 1 species
AGGACGAACGCUGGCGGCGUGCUUAACACAUGCAAGUCGAGCGGUAAGGCUCCUUCGGGAGUACACGAGCGGCGAACGGGUGAGUAACACGUGAGCAAUCUGCCCUUCACUUUGGGAUAACUUCCGGAAACGGAAGCUAAUACCGAAUACGACCAUCACAGACAUCUAUUGAUGGUGGAAAGUUCCGGCGGUGAAGGAUGAGCUCGCGGCCUAUCAGCUUGUUGGUGAGGUAACGGCCCACCAAGGCGACGACGGGUAGCCGGCCCGAGAGGGUGACCGGCCACACUGGGGACUGAGACACGGCCCAGACUCCUACGGGAGGCAGCAGUGGGGGAAUAUUGGACAAUGGGCGAAAGCCUGAUCCAGCAACGCCGCGUGAGGGAUGACGGCCUUCGGGUUGUAAACCUCUUUCAGCAGGGACGAAGCGAAAGUGACGGUACCUGCAGAAGAAGCACUGGCCAACUACGCGCCAGCAGCCGCGGU